rnacentral:rRNA from 1 species
GAUGAACGCUGGCGGCGUGCCUAAUACAUGCAAGUCGAGCGAACAGAUGAGGAGCUUGCUCCUCUGGCGUUAGCGGCGGACGGGUGAGUAACACGUGGAUAACCUACCUAUAAGACUGGGAUAACUUCGGGAAACCGGAGCUAAUACCGGAUAAUAUAUUGAACCGCAUGGUUCAAUAGUGAAAGACGGUUUUGCUGUCACUUAUAGAUGGAUCCGCGCCGCAUUAGCUAGUUGGUAAGGUAACGGCUUACCAAGGCAACGAUGCGUAGCCGACCUGAGAGGGUGAUCGGCCACACUGGAACUGAGACACGGUCCAGACUCCUACGGGAGGCAGCAGUAGGGAAUCUUCCGCAAAGGGCGAAAGCCUGACGGAGCAACGCCGCGUGAGUGAUGAAGGUCUUCGGAUCGUAAAACUCUGUUAUUAGGGAAGAACAAAUGUGUAAGUAACUAUGCACGUCUUGACGGUACCUAAUCAGAAAGCCACGGCUAACUACGUG